rnacentral:rRNA from 1 species
UUAAGUUAAUAAGGGCGCACGGUGGAUGCCUUGGCACUAGGAGCCGACGAAGGACGUGACAAACGACGAUAUGCCUUGGGUAGCUGUAAGUAAGCGAUGAUCCAGGGAUUUCCGAAUGGGGGAACCCAACAGGUAAUACCUGUUACCUACAUCUGUUAAGGAUGUGAGGAGGAAGACGCAGUGAACUGAAACAUCUAAGUAGCUGCAGGAAGAGAAAGCAAAAGCGAUUGCCUUAGUAGCGGCGAGCGAAACGGCAGAAGGGCAAACCGAAGAGUUUACUCUUCGGGGUUGUAGGACUGCAAUGUGGACUCAAAGAUUAUAGAAGAAUGAUUUGGGAAGAUCAGCCAAAGAGAGUAAUAGCCUCGUAUUUAAAAUAGUCUUUGUACUUAGCAGUAUCCUGAGUACGGCGGGACACGUGAAAUCCCGUCGGAAUCUGGGAGGACCAUCUCCCAACCCUAAAUACUCCCUAGUGACCGAUAGUGAACCAGUACCGUGAGGGAAAGGUGAAAAGCACCCCGGGAGGGGAGUGAAAUAGAACCUGAAACCGUGUGCCUACAACAAGUUCGAGCCCGUUAAUGGGUGAGAGCGUGCCUUUUGUAGAAUGAACCGGCGAGUUACGUUAUGAUGCGAGGUUAAGUUGAAGAGACGGAGCCGUAGGGAAACCGAGUCUGAAUAGGGCGCCUUAGUAUCAUGACGUAGACCCGAAACCAUGUGACCUACCCAUGAGCAGGUUGAAGGUGCGGUAAGACGCACUGGAGGACCGAACCAGGGCACGUUGAAAAGUGCUUGGAUGACUUGUGGGUAGCGGAGAAAUUCCAAACGAACUUGGAGAUAGCUGGUUCUCUCCGAAAUAGCUUUAGGGCUAGCGUCGACAUUAGAGAUUCUUGGAGGUAGAGCACUGUUUGGGUGAGGGGUCCAUCCCGGAUUACCAAUCUCAGAUAAACUCCGAAUGCCAAUGAAUUAUGGUCGGCAGUCAGACUGCGAGUGCUAAGAUCCGUAGUCGAAAGGGAAACAGCCCAGACCACCAGCUAAGGUCCCAAAAUAAUUGUUAAGUGGAAAAGGAUGUGGGGUUGCACAGACAACUAGGAUGUUAGCUUAGAAGCAGCUAUUCAUUCAAAGAGUGCGUAAUAGCUCACUAGUCGAGUGACCCUGCGCCGAAAAUGUACCGGGGCUAAAACAAUUUACCGAAGCUGUGGAUACCUUUAUAGGUAUGGUAGGAGAGCGUUCUAUGUGUGAUGAAGGUAUACCGUGAGGAGUGCUGGAACGCAUAGAAGUGAGAAUGCCGGUAUGAGUAGCGAAAGACAGGUGAGAAUCCUGUCCACCGUAAGACUAAGGUUUCCAGGGGAAGGCUCGUCCGCCCUGGGUUAGUCGGGACCUAAGGAGAGACCGAAAGGUGUAUCCGAUGGACAACAGGUUGAUAUUCCUGUACUAGAGUAUGUAGUGAUGGAGGGACGCAGUAGGCUAACUAAAGCAGACGAUUGGAAGAGUCUGUCUAAGCAGUGAGGUGUGAAUUGAGUCAAAUGCUUAAUUCUAUAACAUUGAGCUGUGAUGGGGAGCGAAGUUUAGUAGCGAAGUUAGUGACGUCACACUGCCAAGAAAAGCUUCUAGCGUUUAAACAUACUCUACCCGUACCGCAAACCGACACAGGUAGUCGAGGCGAGUAGCCUCAGGUGAGCGAGAGAACUCUCGUUAAGGAACUCGGCAAAAUGACCCCGUAACUUCGGGAGAAGGGGUGCUGACUUUAAGUCAGCCGCAGUGAAUAGGCCCAAGCAACUGUUUAUCAAAAACACAGCUCUCUGCUAAAUCGUAAGAUGAUGUAUAGGGGGUGACGCCUGCCCGGUGCUGGAAGGUUAAGAGGAGUGCUUAGCGUAAGCGAAGGUAUGAAUUGAAGCCCCAGUAAACGGCGGCCGUAACUAUAACGGUCCUAAGGUAGCGAAAUUCCUUGUCGGGUAAGUUCCGACCCGCACGAAAGGCGUAAUGAUUUGGGCACUGUCUCAACGAGAGACUCGGUGAAAUUUUAGUACCUGUGAAGAUGCAGGUUACCCGCGACAGGACGGAAAGACCCCAUGGAGCUUUACUGCAGUUUGAUAUUGAGUGUCUGUACCACAUGUACAGGAUAGGUAGGAGUCUAAGAGAUCGGGACGCCAGUUUCGAAGGAGACGCUGUUGGGAUACUACCCUUGUGUUAUGGCCACUCUAACCCAGAUAGGUGAUCCCUAUCGGAGACAGUGUCUGACGGGCAGUUUGACUGGGGCGGUCGCCUCCUAAAAGGUAACGGAGGCGCCCAAAGGUUCCCUCAGAAUGGUUGGAAAUCAUUCGCAGAGUGUAAAGGUAUAAGGGAGCUUGACUGCGAGAGCUACAACUCGAGCAGGGACGAAAGUCGGGCUUAGUGAUCCGGUGGUUCCGUAUGGAAGGGCCAUCGCUCAACGGAUAAAAGCUACCCUGGGGAUAACAGGCUUAUCUCCCCCAAGAGUUCACAUCGACGGGGAGGUUUGGCACCUCGAUGUCGGCUCGUCGCAUCCUGGGGCUGUAGUCGGUCCCAAGGGUUGGGCUGUUCGCCCAUUAAAGCGGCACGCGAGCUGGGUUCAGAACGUCGUGAGACAGUUCGGUCCCUAUCCGUCGCGGGCGUAGGAAAUUUGAGAGGAUCUGCUCCUAGUACGAGAGGACCAGAGUGGACUUACCGCUGGUGUACCAGUUGUCUUGCCAAAGGCAUCGCUGGGUAGCUAUGUAGGGAAGGGAUAAACGCUGAAAGCAUCUAAGUGUGAAACCCACCUCAAGAUGAGAUUUCCCAUGAUUAUAUAUCAGUAAGAGCCCUGAGAGAUGAUCAGGUAGAUAGGUUAGAAGUGGAAGUGUGGCGACACAUGUAGCGGACUAAUACUAAUAGCUCGAGGACUUAUCCNN